rnacentral:rRNA from 1 species
CGGGACACGUGGUAUCCUGUCUGAAUAUGGGGGGACCAUCCUCCAAGGCUAAAUACUCCUGACUGACCGAUAGUGAACCAGUACCGUGAGGGAAAGGCGAAAAGAACCCCGGCGAGGGGAGUGAAAAAGAACCUGAAACCGUGUACGUACAAGCAGUGGGAGCACGCUUAGGCGUGUGACUGCGUACCUUUUGUAUAAUGGGUCAGCGACUUAUAUUCUGUAGCAAGGUUAACCGAAUAGGGGAGCCGAAGGGAAACCGAGUCUUAACUGGGCGUUAAGUUGCAGGGUAUAGACCCGAAACCCGGUGAUCUAGCCAUGGGCAGGUUGAAGGUUGGGUAACACUAACUGGAGGACCGAACCGACUAAUGUUGAAAAAUUAGCGGAUGACUUGUGGCUGGGGGUGAAAGGCCAAUCAAACCGGGAGAUAGCUGGUUCUCCCCGAAAGCUAUUUAGGUAGCGCCUCGUGAAUUCAUCUCCGGGGGUAGAGCACUGUUUCGGCAAGGGGGUCAUCCCGACUUACCAACCCGAUGCAAACUGCGAAUACCGGAGAAUGUUAUCACGGGAGACACACGGCGGGUGCUAACGUCCGUCGUGAAGAGGGAAACAACCCAGACCGCCAGCUAAGGUCCCAAAGUCAUGGUUAAGUGGGAAACGAUGUGGGAAGGCCCAGACAGCCAGGAUGUUGGCUUAGAAGCAGCCAUCAUUUAAAGAAAGCGUAAUAGCUCACUGGUCGAGUCGGCCUGCGCGGAAGAUGUAACGGGGCUAAACCAUGCACCGAAGCUGCGGCAGCGACGCUGAUGCGUUGUUGGGUAGGGGAGCGUUCUGUAAGCCUGUGAAGGUGUGCUGUGAGGCAUGCUGGAGGUAUCAGAAGUGCGAAUGCUGACAUAAGUAACGAUAAAGCGGGUGAAAAGCCCGCUCGCCGGAAGACCAAGGGUUCCUGUCCAACGUUAAUCGGGGCAGGGUGAGUCGACCCCUAAGGCGAGGCCGAAAGGCGUAGUCGAUGGGAAACAGGUUAAUAUUCCUGUACUUGGUGUUACUGCGAAGGGGGGACGGAGAAGGCUAUGUUGGCCGGGCGACGGUUGUCCCGGUUUAAGCGUGUAGGCUGGUUUUCCAGGCAAAUCCGGAAAAUCAAGGCUGAGGCGUGAUGACGAGGCACUACGGUGCUGAAGCAACAAAUGCCCUGCUUCCAGGAAAAGCCUCUAAGCAUCAGGUAACAUCAAAUCGUACCCCAAACCGACACAGGUGGUCAGGUAGAGAAUACCAAGGCGCUUGAGAGAACUCGGGUGAAGGAACUAGGCAAAAUGGUGCCGUAACUUCGGGAGAAGGCACGCUGAUAUGUAGGUGAAGCGACUUGCUCGUGGAGCUGAAAUCAGUCGAAGAUACCAGCUGGCUGCAACUGUUUAUUAAAAACACAGCACUGUGCAAACACGAAAGUGGACGUAUACGGUGUGACGCCUGCCCGGUGCCGGAAGGUUAAUUGAUGGGGUCAGCGCAAGCGAAGCUCUUGAUCGAAGCCCCGGUAAACGGCGGCCGUAACUAUAACGGUCCUAAGGUAGCGAAAUUCCUUGUCGGGUAAGUUCCGACCUGCACGAAUGGCGUAAUGAUGGCCAGGCUGUCUCCACCCGAGACUCAGUGAAAUUGAACUCGCUGUGAAGAUGCAGUGUACCCGCGGCAAGACGGAAAGACCCCGUGAACCUUUACUAUAGCUUGACACUGAACAUUGAGCCUUGAUGUGUAGGAUAGGUGGGAGGCUUUGAAGUGUGGACGCCAGUCUGCAUGGAGCCGGCCUUGAAAUACCACCCUUUAAUGUUUGAUGUUCUAACGUUGACCCGUGAUCCGGGUUGCGG